rnacentral:rRNA from 1 species
UACGUAGGGGGCUAGCGUUGUCCGGAUUUAUUGGGCGUAAAGAGCUCGUAGGCGGUCUGUCGCGUCGGAUGUGAAAACCCGGGGCUUAACCCCGGGCCUGCAUUCGAUACGGGCAGACUCGAGUGUGGUAGGGGAGACUGGAACUCCUGGUGUAGCGGUGAAAUGCGCAGAUAUCAGGAAGAACACCGGUGGCGAAGGCGGGUCUCUGGGCCACUACUGACGCUGAGGAGCGAAAGCGUGGGGAGCGAACAGG